AACGAACGCUGGCGGCAGGCUUAACACAUGCAAGUCGAGCGGAAGUUGAAGAGCUUGCUCUUCAACUUUAGCGGCGGACGGGUGAGUAACACGUGGGCAACCUGCCCUGCAGAUCGGGAUAACUCCGGGAAACCGGUGCUAAUACCGAAUAGUUUUCGCCACCUCCUGGUGGCGUACGGAAAGACGGUUUCGGCUGUCACUGCAGGAUGGGCCCGCGGCGCAUUAGCUAGUUGGUGGGGUAACGGCCCACCAAGGCGACGAUGCGUAGCCGACCUGAGAGGGUGAUCGGCCACACUGGGACUGAGACACGGCCCAGACUCCUACGGGAGGCAGCAGUAGGGAAUCUUCCGCAAUGGACGAAAGUCUGACGGAGCAACGCCGCGUGAGUGACGAAGGUUUUCGGAUCGUAAAACUCUGUUGUGAGGGAAGAACAAGUACCAACUAACUACUGGUACCUUGACGGUACCUCACCAGAAAGCCACGGCUAACUACGUGCCAGCAGCCGCCGUAAAAC
rnacentral:rRNA from 1 species